AUGUGGGAAGGCCCAGACAGCCAGGAUGUUGGCUUAGAAGCAGCCAUCAUUUAAAGAAAGCGUAAUAGCUCACUGGUCGAGUCGGCCUGCGCGGAAGAUGUAACGGGGCUAAACCAUGCACCGAAGCUGCGGCAGCGACACUGUGUGUUGUUGGGUAGGGGAGCGUUCUGUAAGCCUGUGAAGGUGUGUCGUGAGGCAUGCUGGAGGUAUCAGAAGUGCGAAUGCUGACAUAAGUAACGAUAAAGCGGGUGAAAAGCCCGCUCGCCGGAAGACCAAGGGUUCCUGUCCAACGUUAAUCGGGGCAGGGUGAGUCGACCCCUAAGGCGAGGCCGAAAGGCGUAGUCGAUGGGAAACGGGUUAAUAUUCCCGUACUUGGUGUUACUGCGAAGGGGGGACGGAGAAGGCUAUGUUGGCCGGGCGACGGUUGUCCCGGUUUAAGCGUGUAGGUGUGUGUUCCAGGUAAAUCCGGUUCACUUUAACACUGAGGCGUGACGACGAGGCACUACGGUGCUGAAGCAACAAAUGCCCUGCUUCCAGGAAAAGCCUCUAAGCAUCAGGUAACAUCAAAUCGUACCCCAAACCGACACAGGUGGUCAGGUAGAGAAUACCAAGGCGCUUGAGAGAACUCGGGUGAAGGAACUAGGCAAAAUGGUGCCGUAACUUCGGGAGAAGGCACGCUGACACGUAGGUGAAGUGAUUUACUCAUGGAGCUGAAGUCAGUCGAAGAUACCAGCUGGCUGCAACUGUUUAUUAAAAACACAGCACUGUGCAAACACGAAAGUGGACGUAUACGGUGUGACGCCUGCCCGGUGCCGGAAGGUUAAUUGAUGGGGUCAGCGCAAGCGAAGCUCCUGAUCGAAGCCCCGGUAAACGGCGGCCGUAACUAUAACGGUCCUAAGGUAGCGAAAUUCCUUGUCGGGUAAGUUCCGACCUGCACGAAUGGCGUAAUGAUGGCCAGGCUGUCUCCACCCGAGACUCAGUGAAAUUGAACUCGCUGUGAAGAUGCAGUGUACCCGCGGCAAGACGGAAAGACCCCGUGAACCUUUACUAUAGCUUGACACUGAACAUUGAGCCUUGAUGUGUAGGAUAGGUGGGAGGCUUUGAAGUGUGGACGCCAGUCUGCAUGGAGCCGACCUUGAAAUACCACCCUUUAAUGUUUGAUGUUCUAACGUGGACCCGUUACCCGGGUUGCGGACAGUGUCUGGUGGGUAGUUUGACUGGGGCGGUCUCCUCCUAAAGAGUAACGGAGGAGCACGAAGGUUGGCUAAUCCUGGUCGGACAUCAGGAGGUUAGUGCAAUGGCAUAAGCCAGCUUGACUGCGAGCGUGACGGCGCGAGCAGGUGCGAAAGCAGGUCAUAGUGAUCCGGUGGUUCUGAAUGGAAGGGCCAUCGCUCAACGGAUAAAAGGUACUCCGGGGAUAACAGGCUGAUACCGCCCAAGAGUUCAUAUCGACGGCGGUGUUUGGCACCUCGAUGUCGGCUCAUCACAUCCUGGGGCUGAAGUAGGUCCCAAGGGUAUGGCUGUUCGCCAUUUAAAGUGGUACGCGAGCUGGGUUUAGAACGUCGUGAGACAGUUCGGUCCCUAUCUGCCGUGGGCGCUGGAGAACUGAGGGGGGCUGCUCCUAGUACGAGAGGACCGGAGUGGACGCAUCACUGGUGUUCGGGUUGUCAUGCCAAUGGCACUGCCCGGUAGCUAAAUGCGGAAGAGAUAAGUGCUGAAAGCAUCUAAGCACGAAACUUGCCCCGA
rnacentral:rRNA from 1 species